UGCGGAAGGAUCAUUAUCGUAUAACCGGAGGCUACUAGGGCUGUCGCUGACCCUUCGAAGGGUCGUGCACGCCCAAGUUGCUCUCUCGCAUCCAUCCCACCCCUUUGUGCAUCACCGCGUGGGCCACCUCUUUCUUAAGAGGUUGGUUCGCGUUUUUACACACACACACACAUUUAUGUAUAGAAUGUCUUACUUUUUGCGGUGACACCCAAUAAAUUAAUACAACUUUCAACAACGGAUCUCUUGGCUCUCGCAUCGAUGAAGAACGCAGCGAAAUGCGAUACGUAAUGUGAAUUGCAGAAUUCAGUGAAUCAUCGAAUCUUUGAACGCACCUUGCGCCCCUUGGUAUUCCGAGGGGCACACCCGUUUGAGUGUCGUGAACACACCCUCAACCUUCUUUUGGUUUUCUUGACCGGAGGAAGGCUUGGACUUUGGAGGUCUUUCAUUGCUGGUAUCCUUUCGGAGCCAGCUCCUCCUAAAUGAAUUAGUGGGAUUCGCUUUGGUGAUCCUCGACGUGAUAAGCAUUAUUCUACGUCUCGGGUUUUCGAAGUGCCUUGCUUCUAACCGUCUUUAAACAAAGACAAUGACCACAAAACCUUGACCUCAAAUCGGGUGAGACUACCCGCUGAACUUAAGCAUAUCAAUAAGCGGAGGAAAAGAAACUAACAAGGAUUCCCCUAGUAACUGCGAGUGAAGCGGGAAAAGCUCAAAUUUAAAAUCUGGUGGCCUUUGGUCAUCCGAGUUGUAAUUUAGAGAAGCGUCUUCCGCGCUGAACCGUGCACAAGUCUCCUGGAAUGGAGCGUCAUAGAGGGUGAGAAUCCCGUCUUYGGCACGGAACAUCAGGGCUUCUGUGAUGCGCUCUCGACGAGUCGAGUUGUUUGGGAAUGCAGCUCAAAAUGGGUGGUGAACUCCAUCUAAAGCUAAAUAUUGGCGAGAGACCGAUAGCGAACAAGUACCGUGAGGGAAAGAUGAAAAGCACUUUGGAAAGAGAGUGAAACAGUACGUGAAAUUGNUGAAAGGGAAACGCUUGAAGUCAGUCGCGUCGACCGAGACUCAGCCUUGCCUUGGCUUGGUGUACUUCUCGGCUUGWCGGGUCAGCAUCAAUUUUGGUCCUCGGAUAAUGGCAAGGGAAAGGUAGCACCUUUUGCAUGGUGUGUUAUASUCCUUUGUCGCAUACCGGGGGCCUGGGAUUGAGGAACUCAGCAGCGCACCUUUAGGU
rnacentral:rRNA from 1 species